rnacentral:lncRNA from 1 species
AUUGAAGAAAAGAAGAGCUGCUAAUGUGAAAGAAGCAUUACAUUGCACUAAGAUGUCUGUGAAAAGGAACUUGGUUCUUCUGCUGAUACAACUGAUGUGUUACUUUAGUUCUGGAAGCUGUGGAAAAGUGCUGGUGUGGCCCACAGAAUACAGCCAUUGGAUCAACAUAAAGACAAUCCUGGAUGAACUUCUCCAGAGAGGUCAUGAGGUGACUGUUCUGACAUCCACAGCUUCCAUUCUUAUUAAUCUGAACACAACAUCGGCUAUUAAUUUUGAGGUUUAUCCUGCACCUUCAAGAGAACAACAUUUGGAAGAAAGUUUCUCCAAAUGGAUCCAUGAAUGGAUUUAUGAUAUUUCAAAAGAUGACUUUUGGGAAUUUUAUUCAUUAGUGCAAAAAAUUUUCAAGGAAUAUUCCAAUACAAUUGAACAACUCUGCAGAAAUGUAGUUUUCAACAAGAAACUUAUGAUGAAACUACACAAAUCAAAAUUUGAUGUUGUUCUUGCGGAUGCUAUUGGUCCCUGUGGUGAGCUGCUGGCUGAGCUACUUAAAAUACCAUUUAUAUACACUCUCCGCUGCACUUUUGGCUACACAUAUGAAAAGUACAGUGGGGAACUUACAGUCCCUCCCUCCUAUGUGCCUAUUAUUAUGUCAGAAUUAAGUGAUCAUAUGACAUUCAGGGAGAGGAUUAAAAACACAAUGUAUGUGCUUUAUUUUGAUUUUUGGUUCCAGACAUUUGAUGUGAAGAAAUGGAAUCAGUUUUAUAGUGAAGCUCUAGGUAAGUUGAUUCUUUAAUUAUUACUUGAAAUCCUAAUUUUCCUGUGACUUUGAAGCUGAGCUUUCAUAAAUAUAAAAUCAGAAGAAUUUUAUUUUCUGUAAGUAAAAGGAUGGAAUGAAAAUAUAAGAUGUACAAAUAGUCUCACCAAUAAAAAAGGGGGGGCUUUUACAUUGUAGGGCCAAUUAGAAACCAGUGGCAAUCACUCAUACAGAAUGCUCUAGGAAACAAUAACUUGCAAAUUUUAUCAUGAAAGAUUUCUCUGCAUUUAACUAUUCUUUUCAUCUUUAAGGACAGUCAUUAUUAAUUUCACUAAAUGGUUUAAUGAUGAUAGACAUGCAAUUAAUAACAUACACAAAUAUUACUAGCACAACCAUAUGUAUGUACCAUGGAGAAAAUUGUUUAUUUUUGUAUAGUUUUGUUUCCUCAGUUAGAAAUUAAAAUAUUUAUCUGAAUUACCUUAAAUAAUCCUUCACAGUUAAGUAAAUAGUGUCUCUAUCUCAGAUACAGAGAGGUAUAAAUUGACCUAUCUCAUACUUCACAUUCUUUUAAUAAAAACAAACAAAUCAUGUCUUAAGGCCUAAAACUUUUAUGCAAAGUGGAACCACACCUUAUUAGUCUAUAUUUUUAAAGCCUAAUAUUUACCAUUUAAGACAAUAUGAACUAAAGUAAGCAUGAAAACAAAUCUCUAUUGUAAUGAUUUGUAAAAACUUUCUGGCUGUUAUUUUCAGAUAUAUAAAUUUUACCAAGUUAAUAUUAUUAAUCUCUUAAUAUGAGGUAAUUGCAGUAGUGGUCACUAAGAAUUCAGGCAUAUUCACUAACCAUUGCAAUCCACUUGUACAAUCAAGGAUCAAGGGAAUGGUUUGCUCAAUUGUAAGAAUUAGACUGAGUACUCCUAGAAAAGAUGUCUUAACAGUUAUGGGAGCACUGAUUGGUUGUGGAGCUCACCAAGAUUUUAAAAAUUUAGGUUACUUUUGCAGUUUUCGAGAGAGAAUGAACUUCAUGUUGACUUCUAUGCUGGCUUAUGUUAGUAAUUAUUUGUGAUUGUAUAUACACUGAUGGAACAUUAGAAAGUACCCACACAAUUAGUUUAUGUACAUAUUAACAGCUAAAACAUACCAAUCAUAGUAUGCAAAAACAUACACUAUAAAACAUAUCAAAUGCAGGAUGCAAACACACACACAUGUACACACAUGCACUUUAAUCAUCUUGCCUACCCUAAUCCUGUUAAUUUCAUGGAAAUUAUAUGAAGCAUUCCAGACACAAGUCUCUCAUUAUCUUUUCUUCUUUUCUUUUAUGCAUUCAGGGAGACCCACUACAAUAUAUAAUACAAUAGGGAAAGCUGACUUUUGGCUUAUUGGAACCUAUUGGGAUUUAGAAUUUCCUAGUCCACUCUUACCAAAUUUUGACUUUGUUGGAGGACUCCAUUGUAAACCUGCCAAACCCCUCCCUAAAGUAAAUCUUCUCCUGUUUGUUUUGUUCUGUUUGAUUAACAUUUUUCGUAGAAAUGACUCUGCAUUCUUAAUUCAGAGUGUUUAACUCAGAGAUAUGAAAUGCAAGAUAAAGAGUUCUGCCAUUUAGAGGCCCAGGCAUUUCUAUGUCAUCACAUGUAAUGGCAUUUUAUUAUUGUCACAGAAGAAAGUAGGAUAUCAGGCAUCCUUUGAGAAUAAUCAGGAAAAAAGGCUUUAAUUAUGUAAUACAUAAUAAAGAAUCAAUCAUUUAUUCUAAUAAAUACAAAGAAUAUUUAUUAAGUGACUGUCAUAUACCAGAGAUAAGUGCUGGAUAUAGAGAGAUAUAAAGUUGACACAGUUUCUGCAUCAACCAGACCUUAUAUUCCGUCUGUAACAAGUAAUAAAUUUGUGUGUGUUAUCAUAAGGAAAUCAUACAAUACUAAUGAAACCUCCAGCAAAGAUCAUAAAAUAAAUCCUUAAAUCCUUGAUAACUAAGGUGAAUUCUAAAGAAUCCACAGGAUAGAAAAGAGGUUGAGGGAGAGAGGGAGACACAAAAGGAAAAGCACAUACAAUAAAUAGUAAGGGAAACUCCCAAGAACUUCAAGAGUAGUUCAGCAGGAGAAGGCUCAGCAAAGAGCAGAUGAUGCUAGAGAGGUAAGUGAAAGCCAGAUAAUUAGUAGGAGUUUAAAAUAUCUGUGAAGUACAUUGGGUAGCCAAUGAAAAGAGUUAAGCAUAAGAGAAAUGUGAAUAAAGUUUCAGUUUUGAAAAAUCUCAAAAUGCAGUCACCAAGUUGGAUUUUAGAGGGAAAGACAAUGCAGAGGAACCACUCAGGAAGUUGUUGCAAGACUGCAGAUAACAAAUGAUGUAAACAUGGAUGAGGUUGUUCUUACAUGUGACUAUGCUUAUUUAUCUAUUAAUAGUCAAACUUCAUUUGUGUUACCUGGAAAAAGUAGAUAAUACUGAUACACAAUGUCCCUGGUACAAACAUAGGAUCCAUAGCAAUAUUUGCUAUUGUAAUUAUUCCUUUUUUGUUUUUAUAAAACAAUUUUCCUUCUGAAUAACUGAACUUUGUAUUUUACUUUUAAAGACCCGAACUAUACCAAAAAGGUAAAUACUUAGAAAUAGUAAUAUUUGGGUAUUUUUACAUUUAAUUUAUUUUAGCAUACCCUAAACACUGCUGUGUAUAUGAGUUUGGAUUAUAUUCAAAUUGAGAAAUAGAAACUCAAAAUAUGACUGAAACAAACUACCACAGAUUUUCUCUUGUAAAUGUAGCCAGUCCAGAUUUCUUGUGGUAACUCUAUUACUAAUAAUAUCAGUUAGCUAAUAUGUGACAAGUACAGUGAAUAUAAUUACACACAACAUAAACUAGUUUUAUUUUUUAAUUCUAAUUUGUUAUAUAUAACAUCAGAAUGCUUUAAAAUACAUAUUACACAGAGCAAAAUUUUUCAUAUAUCUGGUUGUACAAAAAGAAGAGUCACACUAUUCAUGUCUUUUUAUUUAUUUAUUUGUUUGUUUGUUUGUUUAUUUAUUUAUUUGUUUAUUUAUUUGGUGCUGUGGAUUGAACCCAGGGCUUUGUGCACGUAAGGCAAGCACUCUACCAACUGAGUUAUAUCCCUAGCCCCUCAUGGCUUCACACUUGUACUUAGAAUAAUGAUGGCCAUCUUGUUCCACUGUCUUUCUACACACACUCCCUUGCCCUCCCACCCCUUUGUCCUAUCUACAAUUGAUGUAUUCCUCUCAUGCCCCCCACAGUCUCCAUUAUGAAUCAGCCCCCUUAUAUCAGAGAAAAUAUUCAGCAUUUGUUUUUUCACUUACCAUUAUCUUCUCCAAUGCCAUCCAUUUACCUGCAAAUGCCAUGAUUUUAUUCUCUUCUAUUGCUGAGUAAUAUUCCAUUGUGUAUAUAUGCCACAUUUUUUUCAUCCAUUCAUCUAUUAACACGCAUAUAGGUUGGUUCCACACUUUAGCUAUUGUAAAUUGUGCUACCAUAAACACUGAUGUGGCUGAGUGCCUGCAGUAUGCUGUUUUUAAGUCCUUUGGUUAUAGACUGAGGAGUGGGAUAGGUGGGUUAAAUGGUAGUUCCAUUCCCUAUUUUCCAAGGAAUCUCGAUACUGCUUUCCAUAUUAGCUGCACCAAUCUGAAGUCCCAUCAGCAGUGUAUGAGUGUGUCUUUUUCCCCACAUCAUCACCAACACUUAUUGUUGUUUGUAGUUUAAAUAGCUGCCAUUCUGACUGGAAUGAGAUGAAACCUUAGAGGAAUUUUGAUUUGCAUUUCUCUAAUUGCUAGAGAUGCCAAACAGUUUUUCAUAUAUUUGCUGAUUGAUUAUGUAUAAUAUUCUGAGAAGUGUGCAUUCAGUUCCUUGGCCCAGUUAUUGAUUUUUUUUUUUUUUUUGGUGUUUAGAUUUUUGAGUUCCUUAUAUAUCCUAGAGAUCAGUGCUCUGUCUGAUGUGCAUAUGGUAUAAAUUUGCUCCCAAAAUGUAAGCCCUCUGUUUACCUCACUGGUUGUCUUUUGCUGAGAAGAAGCCUUUUCAUUUGAAUUCAUUGCAUUUAUUGAUUCUUGAUUUCAAUUCUUGUGCUAUCAGAGUCUUAUAAGGAAGUCAGGCCUUAUCCAACAUGAUGGAGAUUUGGGCCUACUUUUUCUUCUAAUAGGUGCACUGUCUGUGGUUUAAUUCCUAUGUUCCUAACCCACUUUGAGUUGAGUUUUGUGCCUGGUGAGAGAUAUGGGUUUAAUUACAUUUUAUUGCAUAUAAAUUUCCAGUUUUCCCAGCAUCACUUGUUGAAAAAGUAUGGUUCUUCCAACGUAUGUCUUUGGCACUUUUGUCUAAUAUAAGAUAACUGUAAUUCUGUGGGUUUGAAUCUGUGUUAUCUAUUCUAUACCAUUGGUCUACAAGUCUAUUUUGGUGCCAAUACCAUGCUGUUUUUGUUACUAUUGCUCUGUAGUCUAGUGUAAGAUCUGUUAUAAUGAUGCCACCUGCUUCACUCUACUUGCUAAGGAUUGCUUUAGCUAUUCAGGGUCUCUUAUUUUUCCAGAUGAAUUUCAUGACAGCUUGUUCUAUUUCUAUGAGAGAUGUCAUUGGGAUUUUGAUUGAAAUUGAAUUAAAUCAGUAUAAUGCUUUGGUAGUAUGGCAUUUUGGCAAUAUUAAUUCUGCCUAUCCAAGAACAGGGGAGAUCUUUCCAGCUUCUAAUGUCUUCUUUCAUUUUUUUCUUUAGUGUGCUGUAGUUUUUGUUGUAGAGGUCUUUCAUGUCAAUGAAAAUUGAUUCCCAAGUAUUUUAUUUUAUUUUUUUGAAGCUAUUGUUAAUGGGGUACUUUUCCUUAUUUCCCUUUUAGAGGAUUUGUCACCGAUAUACAGAAAUGCAUUUGAUUUAUGGGUGUUGAUUUUAUAUACUGCUACUUUGCUGAUUUCAUUUACCAGUUCUAGAAGUUUUCUGGUGGAAUUUUUUUGGGGGGUCUUCUAAGUAUAGAAUCAUAUUGUUGGGAAAUAGUGCUAAUUUGAGUUAUUUUCUUAUCUCUAUCCCUUUAAUUUCUUUUAUCUGUCUAAUUGCUCUGGCCAGUGUUUCAAGAACUAUGGUAAAUAGAAGUGGUGAAAGAGGGCAUCCCUGUCUUGUUCCAGUUUUAAGAGAAAAUGAUUUCAAUUUUUCUCCAUUUAGAAUGAUGUUGACCUUGGGCUUAGCAUAGAUAGCUUUUACAACAUUGAGAUAUGUUCCUGUUAUUCCCAGUAUUUCUAGUGUUUUGAACAUGAGGGGUGCUAUAUUUUGUUAAAUGCUUUUUCUGCAUCUAUUGAGAUGAUCAUAUGGUUCUUAUAUUAAAGUAUAUUGAUUUGAUGAAUUACAUUUAUUGAUUUUCAUAUGUUGAAUCAACCUUGCAUCCCUAAAAUGAACCCCACUUGAUCAUUGUGCAGUAUCGUUUUGAUUAUAUUUUUAAAUUCAAUUUGCCAGAAUUUUAUUGAUAAUUUUUGCACAUCUUUUCAUUUAAGAUAUUGGUCUAAAGUUUUCUUUCUUUGAUGGGUCUUUGCCUGGUUUUGGAAUCAGGAUGAUAUUGACGUCAUAGAAUGAGUUUGGAAAUGCUUUCUCUUUUGCUAUUUCAUGAAAUAACUUGAAGUGUAUUGAUAUUACUUCUUCUCUGAAGGUUUUGUAGAACUCAGAUAUGUGUCCAUCUGGUCCUGGGGUUUUCUUGGUUGAUAGGCUUAUGAUGAUGUCUUCUAUUUCACUGCUUGAAACUGAUCUGUUUAAAUUGUAUAUAGCAUUCUGAUUUAAUUUGGACAAAUCAUAGAAAUCAAGUAAUUUGUCAAUGCCUUUGAUAUUUUCUAUUUUAUUGAAAUACAAGUUUUCAAAAUAAUUUCUAAUUAUCUUCUGUUUUUUUGUAGUGUCUGUUGUGAUAUUUUAUUUUUAUCACAUAUGUUAGUUAUUUGAGUUUUCUCUCUCCUUUAGUAUGGCUAAGGAUUUGUCAAUUUUAUUUAUUUUUUCAAAGAACCAACAUUUUGUUAUGUCAAUUUUUCAAAUUAUUUCUUUUGUCUCAAUUUCAUUGAUUUCAGCUCAAAUUUUAAUUAUUUCCUGACUUCUACUGCUUUUGAUGUUGGUUUCUUCUUCUUUUUCUAGGGCUUUGGGAUGUAAUGUUAAGUCCUUUAUUUGUUGGCUUUUUCUUCUUUUAAGUAAUGAACUCCAUGCAAUGAAUUUUCCUCUUAGUACUGGUUUCAUAGUGUCCCAGAGAUUUUGAUAUGUUGUAUCAGUUAUCUCAUCUGUCUCUAAGAAUUUUUUAAUCUCCUCCUUGAUAUCUUUUGCAACCUGUUAUUCAUUCAGGAGCAUAUUUAGUCUCCAGGUAUUGGAGUAGCUAUUAUAUAUUAUUUUAGCAUUGAUUUGUAUUUUCAUUCCAUUAUGAUCUGAUAGAAUGCAGGUUAGUAUUUCUACUCCUUUGUAUUUGCUAACAGUUGCUUUGUGGCAUAAUAUAUGGUCUGUUUUAGAGAAGGAUACAUGUGCUGCUGAGAAGAAAGUGUAUGGGCUUGUUGAAGGAUGAAAUAUUCUACAUAUGUCAGUUAAGUCUAAGUUAUUGAUUGUAUUAUUGAGUUCUAGAGAUUCUUUGUUCAGCUUUCAUUUGGAAGAUCUAUCCAGUGAUGAAAGGGGUGUGUUAAAGUCACCCAGAAUUAUUGUGUUGUGAUCUAUUUGACUCUUGAUCUUGAAAAGAAUUUGUUUGAUGAACAUAGAUGCUUCAUUGUAUGGGGCAUAUAUACUUAUAAUUGUUAUGUCUUGUUGGUGUAUUAUUCUGUUGAGCAGCAUGAAAUGUCCUCUCUUGUCCCUUUUGAUUACCUUGAAGUCUAUUUUAUUUAAUAUAAGGAUAAAAUCCCCUGCUUGCUUCCACAGUCCAUGUGAGGGGUAUAAUUUUUCCCAACCUUUCACCUUCAGUCUGUGGAUGUCUUUUCCUAUGAGAUGAGUCUCUUGGAGGCAGUGUAUUGUUGGGUCUUUUUAAAAAAUUGAAUCUGCCAGUCUAUAUCUUUGAAUUGGUGAAUCUAGAUCAUUAACAUUCACGGUUAUUAUUAUGACAUCAUUUGCAUUUCCAGCCAUUUUUGUUUAUUUUUGGUAUUUAACUUGGUUUCACCUUUGAUUAGUUUUUUUUUCUUUGAGUGUAAUACCUUCCUCUGCUGAUUUUCAUUUCCUCCUCAUGGAAUAUUUGGCCAAGGAUGUUCUGUAGUGCAGACUUUCUACUUGUAAAUUCUUUUAACUUUUAUUUAUCAUGGAAGUUUUGAAUCUAAAGCUUAAUUUUUUUUUUUUUUUUUUUUUUUUUUUGGAUACAAGAUUCAUGAUUGGCAUCUUUUUUUUUUUUCCCCCAUAGCUGGGUUUACGCUGUUCUAGGAUCUUCUAGCUUUCAGGGUCUGGGUUGAAAGCUGUGCAGAUAUCCUAAUUCAUUUCCCCCUAUAAAUAACUGAUUCCUUUCUCUUGUGGCUUUUAAAAUUCUCUCCUUAUUCUCUGUGCUAAGCAUUUUUGUUAUAACGUAACUUGAUGUGGAUUUGUUGUGAUUUUGUACAUUUGGCAUUCUGUAAGCCUCUUUUAUUUGGUUUUCCAAUUCAUUCUUCAUGUUUGGAAAAUUUUCUGAUAUUAUUUCAUUGAACAGAUUGUUCAUGCCUUUGAUUUUGAACUCUAUGCUUUCCUGUAUCCCAACAACUCUUAAAUUUUAGUCUUUUUAUGCUAUCCUGUUUAUCUUGAAUGUUCUGCUCAUUAUUUCUUACCAUCUUCACUGUGUUGUGUGUCUGUGUGUGUGUGUGUAUCCUCUAUCUCCCUAUUGAAAUAAUCAUUUGCUUCUUGUACUUGCUUAUGCAGCUCUUUAUCUAAAUGAUCUUUUGCUGCCUGUAUUUCCUCUCUUAUAUUAUUCUUUAUUUUACAGAACAUUUUCAUUAUGUAUAUCCUGACUCCUUCUCUGUAAUUUCUUCUGCUGUGCUGGCCAUGGAUUCUAAUAAUGUAGUAUCUUGAUUUGUUUUGGGGCACUUUCUUCCCUUGUUUUUUCAUGUUGUUAGCACUGCGAAUCUGAGGCAUUACUAUUUUAUUCUAUAGGCUUAUAGUGCCCCUGCAGAGUUCAAAUACCUCUCCUUUGAGGGGAAGAACAAUGUUAACAAAUCCCAAUACAUACAAUAUUCAUACAACAUUACACCAAAUAGUUGCUAUUAAGAUAUUUACAGUUUGGUUACAAUAUACAGAAAUGGUGAAUUCAAUUAUUAUCUACAAUAUAAACAUCGGGUUUGCAAAAGGAUUUUCUGAUUGUAGACAAAGAACCAGGGAUGAGGUGUAGGAUGAUAUGUUGAGGAGAAAGGAGGUGAGGAUAUAGAGUUAUUGUAUCAUAAGAAGUGUCAAAGAGGAAUCUUAAGAAAAAGGUUAAUAACGGGAGAAUAAAGAAGAAGUGAUUUGGGGUAUACAAGUGAGGGGGAACACAGAGGAGUACAUAAAACAAACAUAUGAAUAUUAAGAAAAAUAAAAAAUGCAAAAAUUAUAAAAAUAGGAGAAAAAAGGAUAUAUGACACAACUGUGGUAUACUAUUCAGACAUCCUAGUCCUCAGUAUUCUAAUUCAUACAAAGUACUUGGUUUCACAUAUGUUGGGGAUGUGUGGGUGGUAGGAUAGAGAAGGAGGAGAGAAAAAAAAGCCCUCAAAGUAAGAAACAGGAAUUGUUUUAAUUGGAGAUCAGUAUAUUCUCUGCUUCACUUCUCAUCCAAUAGGUGGGGUUGUCUGUUGUUAGCUAGAAUCUCUGCCCUCUUGAUGGUGAGGGUUAUCAAGGUGGAAAGGUUGUUCUUGGGUACAGGCCACUUGGAAGUAACAUACAAUACCUGCCAGUCCCUGAUGGGAAACUGCACUUCAAGGAUCUCUUUUGGGGCCCACCUGUGUGAUGUGGGCACCUGGUCUUAUCUCCUUAUCUCACUUGUAGACCUCACAGUUCCUGGAACCUAAAUCAGUCUCUAAACUGUAUCUCACACACCCUCUCCCUUACUACUUCCUAAUCAGGGACCUUUCUCUUCAGAGGUCUUGUGUGUUGUGCUCUGCAGGAUGCAUACCUGUCACAGAGAGCUAUUUUGUACUGAGAAGUCACUGUGCCAGGUUAGUGGCUGCCAGUAUAGGGUGGUGUUGGUAUUAGAAAGUAUGGGUACUUGGCUAGCUCAUGUUCUGAACUGGGAGUUUUCUGAACCAAAGAUAGUGAUGAAGUUGACCCAAGAUAGAGGUGGUUGCCUUCAGCGAUGGGGUGUUGGGUUGGGUGGCAGGAGCCAGGCAAUGGCAUUGGGCGAUGUGUGCAGAGAUGAGCUCUGUGUCAUGCAGUGUUGUGACUGUCAACUGUUUUCAGAGCCUGUGUAAUGUCCCCAGGUUCAGGCAGGCUACCGCAUGUGAGGGGCUAAGGCAGUGGCUGCAGAGUCCCAAGAUGGAGGCGACGGGGGAGCCCUGCAUUGGUAGAUGGUGGUCCACAGAGGAGUGGCUGCCAGAGUUCCUGUGUGUGGGUAGCAGCUGGUGUCCUUCUGGGAAUGGCAUCCUGGAAUUCUGCGUGAGUGGGUGGCCCAGAGUUCUGCAUGAGUGCUAAUACCAGUUGUCCUGUUCUGGCACUUGGAAGUCCUGCGUGGGUAAGUAGUCAGAGUUUCUGCUCUGAUGCUAAGGCCUGGAUCCCUGAGAGGGCACAGCAGCUGUGAUUCCUGCACAUGAGCAGCUGUAUGUAGAGGGACUCUAUCUCAUGCAGAGGAGCAGUAUUCCAACUACUUGAGUCCCAGGUCAUGGAGCAACACAGAAUGCUGCCUCCCUCUGGCCUGCCAUCUUGGAUCCCCUCUCCAGAAACUAGUUUUCUGAAAGAUCAACAUAUUAUUCUCAACCAAAGUCCUAGAGAACAGAUAUUCAAUUGGCUUAACAGCAAAUGUAUGUGUUUUGGCAAUCAAAUGAGCAAGUGGAAUUACUAAAAUUGUAUUGUAAUGGUUUAAGAUCUUCACAACCAUCUUGCUUAAAAGAAAUUGCUUUUCUCAGUGGUAUAAAUUUGUGGCCCUUACUUUUCUUCACUCCAGCAUUUGAACAAUUACUCCCCUGAGAACUCAGACUACUAUAUCCCAGACCAUGAUAGGGAUGUUUAGCUUCAGAGAGCUUUCUUCCAUAUUCCAAACUUAGAGGACACCUCAGGAAAACUCCCUUGGGAGACUUGGGUCUCAACAUCAUAUCUUCCCAACAGAAUAAACACAGAAAUUAGGUACUGCAAUGUAAUGAUGACCUAAAUUUUCUUGUCAUUUAUUUCUGAGUACAGCCCUUUAGUUUACAAUUGCAAAAAAAAAAAAGUUCUGUCCACAAAUAGGAUAAAAAUUCAUAGGAAGAAACAGAGUAGUCUAAAAUACUUUAAAUAAAUACCAUGCUUAGAAAGCAAACAUCGCUUGCCAUACUGUUAUGUGAUCUCUCAAGAGUGCCCUUUUUCCUACAUUCUUAAAGGCAUCAAUAUAUUGAGAUCUUCCUCAAGCUUUAUAUUCAAUAGAAUUACAUUGUUGCUUAUGGUAAGUUCCACACAGUUCAAAAAGAAAAUAAAAAUUAGUGAAAGUUCUGAAUAAACACUGAGACAGAGUACUGUAAGUGUUAAUCAAUGAACCCUUGAUCAUGAAAGAUUCCCCCAUUCAAGAGAGAGUGACUGUGUCAAUAACAAGAGAAAGAGCAUAAACAAGAGGAGGGCAAUGAGAAGAGAGAUAGCAGUGUGAUUAUGAAAGGUAGUAAUAGUAGCAGGUGUUAUUAAUUACAUAAAAAAGAUUGGAACACUGGUCAAUAUCAGAAACACUGUCUUCUUUAUCUUUAUUAUAUAAAACAAUGCCCCCUCAAAUGACUUGCUUCUCCAGCAAUGAUUAUAUUCUCAGACAAUUUCUGUAUUGUUUAAGCAGGUAUAACACUUUUGUCAAAUGACAAAAAGCCAAAUAUAUCAAUACUCUUAAAAAUGCAAAUAGUCACAGGCCUCAUAGUAUAUCAAUGGAAAUUAUUCAAACAAAAAAGUCAAAUGAAUGUCAUGUGUGUUCAUCACAGUUACUUAUAGAAUACAUAUUGGAAAAAAGUUGAAUGUCACAUAUUAAGGAAAGAUUUUAAAACUUAUUCCAGUACAUAUCACACCAUUACAAUUACUUUAUUUAUUUAUUGCAUUUUAUUUUUAUUUCUUCAUUUUGAUACCAGGGAGUGAACUCAGGGGCACUCAACCACUGAGCCACAUCCCCAACCCUAUUUUGUAUUUUAUUGAGAGACAGGGUCUUGUGGAGUUGCUUAGUGCCUUACCAUUGCUGAGGUUGUCUUUGAACUUGGGAUCCUCCUGCCUCAGCCUCCUGAGCUGCUGAGAUUACAGGCAUGCACCACCACACCUGUUAAUGCUUAACUACAUUAAUUCACAACAUAAGUUUAGCUGGAGACCAAAAGGCAAAAUAUUGAAUAUAAUAAUGUCACUAUUUUUGUGAGAAGAAAAAAAAUAUACAAAAAUUUUCAAUUUUCCACUUAUAUUUUAUAUGUUACUGUGUCAAUAACAAGAGAAAGAGAGCAGUUACUACAUGAGAGAGAGCAGAUACUACAUGUAUCUGUUCAUGUAGUUACAUGAACAGAAAAAAAAAGGAAACAAUGAUGCAUAAAGCCCUGGGUUCAAUCCCUAGCACCAGAGAAAAAAAUAUAAUAAAAAACAAAUGAAAAAGAGAGAGAGACCAUAAUGAAAGCAUUCAAAUUUUAAAAAGCAUUCAAAUCUAAAUCUGCGUAUCAACCAAAGAUCACCUAGAAGAAUCUUUUUACAUACACUUUCAUGUUUUUCCAAAUUUUUAUAUGAUAAACAUUUUUUUCCUUAUAACUAAUGUUGCAGAAUGACAGGCACCUGUCUUUUUCAGGGCUUAACUAUUUUUUAAAGGGUAUAUUUAUAAAACAGUAGUAGAAAAUUUUUGUACAGCACAGAUAUGAAGAACAUUUGAGAUGUGAGAAAUUAUAUUGAAUAUAUUGCUUUACAUGUUGUUCUAUCUUAUUGCAAUCCCAAAAUAAUUGCAUAUGUCACAAGGUCCAAGGAGUAGUGCAGUGACUGCUACAUUAAAACUCAUUUUAUCAAUUUAUCUAUAUCAGUGCUUUUGAAAAUUUCUUUUUUUUUUCUUUUUCCAGAAGAGUUGUUGCAAAACAAGAUUAGGAAUAGAACAUGUGUUUUUAGUUUGGAAGAAUUUGGUCAUUCUUUUACUGAGAGAAUCAUGAAAAUAAUAUAUUUAAAAUGGAAUGAAAAAGGAUGAGUUUAUGAUUAUGGUUUGAACAAGGUAUUCAAAAAACUUUUGAUGGGACAGUAUUCCUAUGUAUAAAGAAAUUAAUUGCAUAACUUGUUAUGGAGUAGGAACCAUCAAACGCUACUUCUUAAACAUUCUAGACAAACAUAUGUUUUCUACAAAUUUUUCAUAAUGUGAGUGAACUACUCAACAACUUAGCCAGUUCAAUAAAAGGUCCAGAGGAACACCCACCAGGGUGCAACAAUUCCCAUUGGUCAUAUGAGGUGGUGAUAAAGGGUUCUUCACAGCCACUUACACACAGUUCAUUCUUGUGAAACUUUAAUAUCAUUAACAAAUUUCAGGGCAAAACAUGAUAUUUAUAAACAACCCAAAUAUAUGAUCACUCAGAUAUAUGUAUCAUUCUAAUGCAGUGAAAAUGCUGAUUGUGGGUCAAUAUAGUUCUGAAAUGAACAAGUAGAGAACUGUUAGGAUUUUUAGGAUUAUGUAGAAAAAACUCCAAACCACACUAUUUAUCUUCUGAAUGUCAGUGAUUUUUAACCUUCAGUUUUUAUGGGAUGUUACAGAGGAAAGCAUUGGGAAACUCUCACAAAUUAUAAAGUGAGAAAUGAAGUAUUAUAGACAUAAUAAAUAUAAACAUGUAAAACAAUCCCAGUUAUAAGUAACUUUUGUUCAGUGCUCACUAGGAGGAAAUAAGUACUAAUAAUUUCAAAUUAAAAAGUUAUCCAGAUAACCUGCCUAAAAUACACCUAAGUGAUUUACUAGAAAUGUAACAAUGAGAAUUGAAGACAAGUACUAGCUAUAGUGUCUAACCAAAAAAAUUGAUCUUAGUAAUGAAUGAAGUUAUGAAUUAAGAAUCAACAUAUAAUAAUUUCUAACAUCAUCUCUCAAAUUACUGUUUAAUGGCUCUAGGUCAUUUCUUCCUGACACACAGAUAUAAGCACACACAGGGAGACAUAUUAUACAAGUAAGCCUAGUCAAACUUUUAGGUCAUAAUGCACAUCUCUUUCCAAAGAAAAUGAGUGUUUGGGUCAAUUUAAGAAUAGCAUUGACAUCAAAUUCCUAAUAAUACAUGAUUUUUCUCUUCUUAAUUUACAUAUCAAUCAUUUAUAGUGUUUUCUGUUUGUCUUUUUUUGCAACAUUUUUAUUGGUGUAUUAUAGUUGUACCUAAUGAUGGGAUUUUAUGUUACAUAUUCAUACAUUUACACAAUAUAAUAAUACAAUUUGGCCAAUAUAACUUCCCAGAAAUUCUCCAUUUUCCCCCACCUCCGUCCCAUUGGUCCCUUUCUCAACUGAUCUCCCUUUGAUUUUCAUAAGAUUCAUCCCAUCUUUUUUUUCUUUUUUCCUCUCUAGUUUUCACAUAUGAGAGAAAACAUACAACUUUGAGCUUAUGAGUUUGACUUAUUUCACUUAAUGUAAUGGUCUUUAGUUCUUUUUGCUGAAUAAAACUCCAUUGUAUAUAUAUAUACCACAUUUUCUUUAUUCAGUCAUCCUUUGGCAGACACCUAGGCUAGUUCCAUAGUUUGCCCAUUAUGAAUUAUACUGUUAGAAAAUGGGUAUGCAUGUAUCACUGUAAUAAGAUGAUUUUAAUUCUUUAGGAUAAACACUGAGAAGUAGUAUACCUGGGUGAUAUGAUGGUUCCAUGCUUAAUUUUGAUGAAUCUCUCCAUUCUGAUUUCCAUAGUGUUUGUAGUAAUUUACAAUGCCUCCUCCAACUGUGAAAAACUACUCAUUUUUCUCCAUAUUCUCUCCAGCAUUUAUUAUUCUUUUUAUUCUUGAUGACUACUAUUUUGACUAGGAUAUAUUGAAGUCUCAGUAUAGUUUGAUUUUUCUAAUUGCUAAUGAUAUUAAAUAUUUUAUCAUAUUUUUGUUGGCUAUUCAUAUUUAUUCUUCUGAGAAGCAUCUGCUUAAUUUCUUUUCCCACUUAUUAAUUGGGUUGUUUGAUUUUUUAGUGUAAAGUUUAUUUAAUUCUUCAUAUAUUCUAGAUAUUAAUCUUUUGUCAGAAGGUAGAUAGCAAAGAUUUUCUUUUAUUCCAUAAGUUCUCUCUUCACAAUUCUUAUUGUUUCCUUUGGUGUGCAGAAGCUAUUUAAUUUGAUGCCUUCCCACUUAUUAACUCUUGGUAUUGUUUUCUGACCUUUAGGGGUCUUAUUUGAGAAAGUCAUUGUAUGUGCCUAUAUGCUGGAAAGUUGACCCUAUGUUUUCUUCUAGGAGUUGUAUUUACUCUAAUUGUAUUUCUAGGUCUUUGAUUAAUUUUAAGUUGAUUUUUGUGCAGGAUGAGAGAUAAGGGACUAGAUUAAUUCUUCUGCAGUUUUCCCAUCAUCAUUUAUUAAAAAGGCAAUCUUUACUCCAAUGUAUGUUUUUGGCACCAUAGUCAAGGAUCAGAUGACUGUACAUGUGUGGGGUUUUCUCUGUCUUCUAUUCUGUACUACAAAUCAAUGUGUCUGUUUUUAUGCCAGUAACAAGCAGUUUUUGUUACUAUAAAAGUGGUAUGCCUGGGUGAUAUGAUGGUUCCAUGCUCUGUAGUAUAAUUUGAAGACAGAUAUUAUGAGGCCUCCAGGAUUGCUUUUUGAAUUUAGAUUUGCAUUCACUAUUCUGGGUAUUUGAGUUUUCCAAAUUAAUUUUAGGAGUGUUUAUUCUAAUUCUGUGAAGGACAUCAUUGGUAUUUUCAUUUGGAUUGCAUUGAAGCUGUAUAUUGUUUUGAAUAGUUGGAAAUUUUAACAAUAUUAAUUCUACAUAUCCAUGAACAUGGGAGGCCUUUUCAUAUUCUUGUGUGUCUUCUUAAAUUUCUUUCUUUAAUUGUAGAUGUCUUUCAACUUUUUUGUUAGAUUUAUUCCCAGGGAUUUUUAGUGUGUUUGUUUUGUUUUGAGGAUAUUGUAAAUGGAAUUAUUCUUCUGAUUUUUUUCUCUGAAGAUUCAUUGUUGGUUUAUAGGAAAGCUAUUGAUUUUUGUAUGUUUAUUUGUAAUCAGCUAUUUUGUCAAAUUUGUUUAUUAGUUCUAGCAGUCUUUUGUUGAAGUCCUUUGGAUCUUCUAUGUAUAGAAUUAUAUCAAUUACAAACUAUUCAAUUUAAUUAUAGUUAUAUUAAUGUAACUAUUCAAUAUAAUUACAAAGAGAUAUUUAUUAAUUCACUUAUUUCUUUCCUACUUUUCUCUCUCAUAUCUCUUUCUCUUUCCUAAUUUCUCUUCUACUGGUUUUGGAAUUGGUUUGUUCUUCUUUUUAAAGAACCUUGAAAUGAAUACCUUUUUUAUGUGGAAUCAUUAUGAUUUUUUUAUACAGGCACUCAGCUAUNNNNNNNNNNNNNNNNNNNNNNNNNNNNNNNNNNNNNNNNNNNNNNNNNNNNNNNUAUUACUAUUCUCAUUUGAGUCUAAGAAUAUUUAAAUUUCUCUCCUGAUUUCUUCUAUAAUUCAAUUGUUUUGGUUGUUUAUUUGUUUCAUUCAAGACAGUCAUUUCAAUAUCCAUAUUUUUACAUAGGUUUAGUAUGGUUUUGUCAUGUUGAUUUCCCAUUUCAUUCCAUUAUGUUCUGAUAGGACAUAAUAAAUUAUAUCAAUUGUUCUGCAUUUGAGGAGAGUUGCUUUGUCAUCUUAAAUAUGGCCUGUUUUGGAGAUGGUUCCAUGAGAAGCUAAGAAGAAAUUGUAUUAAUAUUAUGUUGAAUGAAAUAUUCUAUAAACAUCUUUAAGUCCAUUGGACUCAUAAUAUUUUUCAGGUUCAAAGAGUCUUUACUGACUUUAUGUUUCAAUGACCUUGAUAAACAAACUAUUGAAAAUCACCCAGUAUUAUUGUACUUAUGUCUAUCUGAGGCUUCAAUUUGAGUAGUGUCUCCUUUAUUUCAUUAGUUAGACCCAUGUUUGUGACUUAAAUAUUUAUAAUUGUUAUAUCUUCUUGUUAAAUUAUUGAAUUUACCAGUAGGAAGUGACUAUAUUCAUCUCUUCUGAUUAAUUUUGAUUUGAAGUCUGCUUUGUCAGAUAUGAUAUUAGUUAAUCCUGCUUAUUUUGUGUUUCUCUUUGCAUUAUGUAUCAUUUUUAUCCUUUUGCUUCAGACUGUGGCUGCUUUUAUCUGUAAGGUGCAUAUUUUACAAACAACAUAUCAUUGGCUCUUUUUUUUAUAAUCCAUUCUGACAGACUAUAUGUUUAAAUUGGAGAAUUGAGACCAUUUAUAUUCAAUAUAAUAACAAAGGGAUAUUUAUUAAUUUCUGUCAUUUUGAUUUAUUUAUGUUUAUUUGUUCCAGUUCUCAUUUGUUUAGUUACUCUUCAAAUCAGAUUUGUUCAUUUUUGAACUCUGGGGCUUGUUUUUUAUUUCUUCCAUAGGAAUCAUUUUUUUUAAAUAAGUUCUGUUUUGCUGGUUUAGUUGUUAUGAAUUCUUUUACUUUUUGCUUAUCUAGGGAAGUUUUUAUUUCAACUUGAUUUUGAAGAAUAGCUUUGCUGUAUAUAGCAGUCUUGGUUGACAGUUAUUUUCUUUUAGGACUUUGAACUUAUUGUUCCAAGAUCUCCUGGUUUUUAGAGUUUGUGCUAAGAUAUGAGAAGUGAUUCUGAUUGUCUUGCCUCUAAACCUGACCUGACAAUUUUCUCUUAAGGAUUUUAAAAUUCUAUUUUAGUUCUGUAUGUUAGGCAUUUUAAUUUUAAUGUACUCUAGAAAGGUUCUUUUUUGAUCCUGUGUAUUUGGGGUCCCAUAUCUGGAUAUAUCCCUCUGAAUCUGGAUAUCUGUCUCAUUCUCAAGGUUUGGAAAUUUUUUUAUUAUUAUUUCCCUUAAAAGGAAAUAAUUUCUCUUAGCCUGCCUCUCACAACCCUCCUCAAUUCCAAUGGUUCUUACAUUUAAUCUCUUAAUGUUGUCCUAACAUCUAUAUUCUGAUCAUGGUUACUUAUUUUCUUUACUUUAAAACUGUCUGAAUGUUCAAGGAUGACCACUUUUUCUUUUAUAUCUGAGAUUUUGUUCUCAGAAUUAUCUACUGUUUUAUAGAGACUUUCAACUGGACAUUUUCUUUGAUUUAUUUUGUCUUUCAUUUCCAAGAUUCAUGUUUGGUUCUCUUUCAAUAUUUCUACCUCAUUUCAUUUUCAAUUUGUAUUCUAUAGUAACUUCCUUAGUUCAUUCAAUUGUUUUUCUAUGUUCUCUAGGAAUUCAUUGAUCAUUUUUAUAAUGAGUUUUUGAAUUCUUUAUCUGACAUUUUAUAUAGUACAAUUUUUUUGGGGUCAUUUGUUGGUGAAUUAUGAACUCUAUGUGGUUUAAUAUUAUCUUGUUUUUACAUAUUUCUUGUAGACCUGUGUUGGAUUUUACACAUCUAUUAGGGGUGAAUAUCUCUUCCACUCUAUAUAGAGCAUUGUCUUUACUGUCCAAAGUGUCCUAGAAUGAUCUUGAUUUCGACACCCUUGUAGGUGUGGUAUUCACAGCUUUGCAUUAAUUCUCUCUGUUUUGGCUCUGGCAAGGGAUUUCCAUAAGUAGAAGCUACAAGCUCACCCCCAGCUGUUUCUAAUUAAGGUCUUAUCAAUAGUGUGUUUUUUAAUCUUUGUAUUAAAGUAUAAGCAGAGAUUGAGUGUCAUUAAUUUUUAUGUGGAGCAACGUGAACUGUAUUUUGUUUGAAUUUAUUUUAGCUGGAGACUUCUCUACCCUGUGAACUUGUAGUGACACUAUAGAUUUCCACUUAGUCACAGAAUAGGGGGAAACAAAUGAUAAAAACAAAACAAGCAAUAUACAGCAUUAAAAUAAAUAAAUACUUGGAUUCUAUUAUGGCUUCUACAACGUCAAUUACUAAAAAAAAAAAAAGAAAGAGAGAAAAAUAAAGAAAUGGUGGGGUCAGCAAUUUUUAAUAACAACAACAAGGUGUAGAUCUGGCAUUAAAUCAAGAAACAGGUGUCAAGGAUGUCAUCCACAUAAGUAAUAAUUGCAAAAGUGUUAAUGGUAGGAGCAGGAGAUAUAUAAACCAGUUAGUUCCAAAAGAUGGUAAAAAUACAGUAAACUAAGAGGAAUGAAGUGUGAUAGGAAGGUAGAAAAGGGUUUGCAAUUUUCAAAAGUGAACACAGAGAAUGCCAUAGAAAUGUUGCAGGUGACAGUUAUGAGGUUAGAGGAGAAAAUAGGAGGAAAAAAGUAAAGGAGGAGAGAAAGAAAAAAUAGAUUUUGGCUAUCAGCAGUAAAAGUCUCUUUCUCUUUAUUUGAAAUGAAAACAAUACAAAAUGAACAAAAAUAUACAGAUCAAAAAUCCUAACCCUCAAAAGACAAGACAAGGAAAAUAACUACAUUUAAAAAAAUGCUAAGAAAAAAAAAUGUGGAUAUAUGUCCAUGAACCAAAGAGCCCUGAAAGAACACACACACACACACACACACACACAGAAUAAGAAAAAGUAAAAAUAUUAUUAAUGAUAAAUGAAAGAUUCCAAUAUGAAGCCCUGGUUAAGAAUCCUAACCUAAAUAUUCCUUCUUCUCUUAGAUGUAGCUCAUUCUCUCUUGUAUUUUCUACUCUACCCUGUAUGCUGUUUCCAGUCCUCAAGAGUAAUAGCAGCACUUGACACCUCCUAUUCUGACCAUUCCCUUAGGCACAACUGGCUACAGGGAGAUUAAAAAAGGCAGUUGUCAGUCACUGACCCCUAGGGGUUGCACAUUCACUUCCAUCUGGGAGUUUGGUUUAGGAGAAGCCCCACCAAUAUUUGUCACAAAAGCAGUAAGAAUAAAAUUACUAGGGCUGGGGUUGUGGCUCAGUGGUAGAACACUGGCCUCACAUACGUGAAGCACUGGUUUGAUCCUCAGCACCACAUAAAAAUAAAUAAAUAAAAUAAAGAUAUUGUGUCCAUCUACAACUAAAAAAAUAUUUUUUAAAAAAGAAUGAGGAGCUGGGGUUAUGGCUCAGUGAUAGAGCGCUUGUCCCCUCACAUGAGAGGAACUGGGUUUGAUCCUCAGCACCACAUAAAAAUAAAUAAAGUAAAUAUAAAAAGUGAAAAAAAAGAAAGAAAGAAUCAUUUUCACUGAAGUGUUCAAAACAGUCAGCAAAAUGAAUGAUCACCAACACAAUGGCUGAUCACCCAACUGUCUUUCUUUCCAUUUCUUCUUAAGCUAUGUAUGGAGAGCCAGAGCAAAGAAUGGGUUUUGUUAUCCCCUUUAUCCUUGUGUUUCUUUCUGAGCAGUUGGAGUGGCCUAAGACUAAAGCUGUUUUACAUAAGUCUCAGCUUCCCUUCUUACUGGUAUGACAUAGGAUGAAAUAGGAAGAACUAUCAAUUGGAGCUUUGCCUGCACAGACAGAUCUAUGCACACCAGGAUGGGUUGCUUCAGUGUUCUAUGAGGGGGAUUCUGAUGGAUGAGGCUUAGGUCUAAUCACCUUUGUUGGGUGUCUGCUCUGAAGAGAGUAGAUGGACACACACCUAGGGCCUGGCAGUUGCUGAUCUCUGUAAGAAGUCUAAAUCUCAGUAGCCUCCCAAGAAUUCUAUUCAUUUGGCCAUAUUAAGGUGCUAUUUCAAAAUCCCAAAUAAAAUUCUGUGUGUUUUUGAAGAAAAGACACAGGAUUUAUUCUGGUCAGGGCCAAGGGAGAAGAAAGCAGACAGUCCUACAGCCCAAGACACUGAACACUGGUGGGGAGGCAUCUUAAAAACAGAAAAACCACAAAGAAUGGGGGUGGGAGAGGCAAGUACAAUCAUAGGACACAAUUCAUAAAGUGGAAAGCACCAAGUUCUCAGAAUUGGCACCUUUUUAUACAUAAUCAGGAAGCAAGCUUGCAUUAGUUCCAAAGUUUAAAUACAUUGUGGUCGGUGUGCAAGUGGGUGAGGGUAGAGAUUUCAGCUCUGUGUGAGUGGGCUCAUGCAGAAAGGGGGACCAAGUCUGCACAGGAUGAUUUGUCUGAGCAAAAUAUACUCAGCCUGACUUAAUUUUCAAAUUAGCCCAUAACAGAAGGGGAGGUGAUCCUCCACACAUUCUGAGGCCCCCCGGCACAGUUUUCCCAGGCAUAGUCCCUGAGUGUUUCCACGCCUAUAUUGUCAGAUUCUCUACCCACUGUACCUGGUCAUAUGAACCACCAGUCUCAAAGGAGAAGGAAGUUGUGUUCCCACUUUGCUUUUUUGACUUGAUUCCCCUGGAGUAAAAUCUUCUCUGUGCCUUUUUACUCCCAUUUAGCUAGGUAUACACUAGGCCACACAGUAGGCAUUGCAGCAGUGUUCACUCUGAUCUCCCAGUUCUAGCAGCAGCUGAAGUACGGCCACUUCAAGAUCACUGCACCACAUCUCUCCCCAACAAGUAAAGAAACAUCAUUUUUUCAAUUAUCAGUGCACAGUGCAGCCUCUGGAUCAGCUAAUUUCAGGCUGCUUUUCUGACCUCAGGUUUUUUUUAUAUCAAACAUGUCCACUGUAUUUCUCUCUGUAAUUUUCUUUCUUUGUGGUAGACAGCACCAUUACUACUACUACAGCCACUUCCACAAAUACUUUGGUUCCAAUGUAGUAUUCUUUGUUUAAUGAAUACAAACUUCUGAGUCUCUGAGAUACUCUGAUUGUACAAUCUUAAAUUUUAGUGAAAUCAUUCUUUCACCUACCUCACUAAGAAGCAGUAUUCUCACUGCUUGUAUUUUGAACCUUGGAGGAAUUAAGAAGGCAGCCUUCCUCUAAUCUGACAUCUUGAAUCCCCUCCCUGUUGAACUUUUUUGAUGGAGCAAAUGUUUUCUUCACAGGAAAUGGAAGAAUUUGUACAGAGUUCUGGAGAAAAUGGUAUUGUGGUGUUUUCUCUGGGGUCAAUGGUCCCUAACACGCCAGAAGAGAAAGCCAAUAUAAUUGCAUUUGCCCUUGCACAGAUUCCACAAAAGGUAAGAAAAAGUGGCCGUUUAGUGAACAAGUAUGUAAAAGUCUGUUAAACUUUAUAAAGGGUUUGAUUAAUGAAGCAUCCUUUGUGAAACAUAAACCUAUCAUGAUACAUAUAAAUCAUCUCAGAAAUCAUGCUUUAAACAAAAAUAUGUGUGGUAUUUCUAAACAGUAGAGAGUGUUUAAUUCAUGUUAACAUUAACAUUAUGAUUAUAAAGAAUAUAUUUUACAGGUCUAUUGUGAAAAUUUAACUCUAAGGUUAUCACACCAUUUACACAGAUACCACAUUCUUCCCUGCCACUUCUUCCUUUUCCCUGCAGGAUUCCUGAGGGUACCAUAUACAAAGCAAAUGUUAUCAGAAAGCUACAAAAAGUUAACUCAUAACUGGACCACCACAAUAAUAGUAAGCAGGUAUUGAAAAAGGCUAAAUUUUAUCAUGAUUUUAGAUAUCCUAUGCAGUACCUUGUUCCUUGCUUACCCUUAUUUAAGAAGAAGCUUCUUGAAAUCCUAUUCUACCUCAUCUCUGGCUCAGAGCAUUGGAGUCUGCCAAACAUGUGCUGAACCUCUGAAACUAUGAGUUCAAAAUACCCCCAUAAAAAAGCAUAAGUUUUUUUAAUGAAUUGUUCCUGGAGUUUUGAGGAGAAAUGCUACCCAGAGUUGAACAAGCCUGAAACCCUGACUCCAAAUUCAUACUAAGUCACAUGUAUUUGUAGAAAAAGAAAAAAAUAAACAGCUUGCACUAAUGGACAGGAUCCUGAUAAUUUCUGAAGAAGGAAAAUAUUAAAGAAUGUGUAGAGAUUAGUCCUUCCCUCAAAGUGGACCCUGUCUAUUAUGAAAUGUGCCCCAAAGGACAUUGCUUCUAAAAUAUCAGAUUAACACAUUCAGAGUUAACAAUAUCAGGAAGAGUCAAACAGAAGCAAGCCUAGCAUGGGCUGAAAUUCAGGAGAUGCAGCUCCAUGAAAUGCUUUAAUACCACGUUUUCUACAUACAGAAUACUCUUGUGAUCUUUGUGUGCUUGCCAUAUACUUUGUAGUUUUCUAUCUGAUAUAGUCUUCUCCUAAUCACUCAAGUGUUUUUCUUUUCUGCAGAACUAAAGUUACUUUGCUAUUCACAUUACAUAUAGAAGCUAAGCACUUAGAAAUUAUACUCCAGUUCAUGAAGUCUGCUUUCAAUUUCCAAAGUCAGCUCCUUGUUUUGAUUCUAGGCAUAAAAAUAUCUUGAAUCUAUAUGAAACUACCAAUAAGACUUUGUAGUGCAUCAUUAAAUAACCACAAAACCUUUUUAAAAAUCUAGCAACCUCAAAAUUUUGCCCUUUAUUUCAAAAUCCAUGCAAUUAUUUACAAGUUGCUAAUAAGCUCUUCCUUUUAAAACUUAAAAGAAUUUCCAAAUCCACCAACAUUAAUAAAAGUGUAGGUUAAAUUGAUAAAGUGUGGGUGACAGUUCACACGUGCCAGUGAAAUGAUUCUUGUAGUUAGUGCUUAGUAAAAUGCCAUCUAAAACAAGUUACCUGUAAUCCCUAGUUAGAAUUCAUUUAUUUCUCACAAGUAGCUGACUGUAUUGUUUUGCUUUUGUGUAUAAAAAAAUGCUAAACUGAAAUAAGUACCUUAAAGAACUAAUGAAUAUAUGUAAUAUCCAAUCUAUGUCAAUUAAAAGAAGUAAACAUGAUGAUAUUAAUUUUCAAAAAUGAAAGCUAGGGUAAAAUAUAUUAAACAAAAUAAAUAUGGAAUUUAAGUUUAGAUUUUAAGAAUUCUCAUUGUUUAAAAUUGUUUGUAUUCAUUUUAUUAUGUGUAAAAUAUUGAACCAGAUGAUCUCUUAAAUUUUUAUAAUUCAAACAUACUCUAAUCUUUAAAUCAUAGAAUAAGGUACUUUCUUUACCAAACAGGUCAUAUGGAGAUUUAAUGGCAAGAAGCCAGAUAAAUUAGGACCCAACACUCAG